rnacentral:rRNA from 1 species
ACCGAGCGACGCCGCGUGCGGGAUGAAGGCCUUCGGGUUGUAAACCGCUGUCAGAGGGGAUGAAAUGCAGGUGGGUUCUCCCAUCUGUUUGACAUAGCCUCAGAGGAAGGACGGGCUAAGUUCGUGCCAGCAGCCGCGGUAAGACGAACCGUCCAAACGUUAUUCGGAAUCACUGGGCUUAAAGGGUGCGUAGGCGGCGCGGAAAGUUGGGUGUGAAAUCCCUCGGCUCAACCGAGGAAUUGCGCCCAAAACUUCCGUGCUCGAGGAAGAUAGAGGUGAGCGGAACUUAGGGUGGAGCGGUGAAAUGCGUUGAUAUCCUAAGGAACACCGGUGGCGAAAGCGGCUCACUGGAUCUUUUCUGACGCUGAGGCACGAAAGCUAGGGUAGCGAACGGGAUUAGAUACCCCGGUAGUCCUAGCCGUAAACGAUGAGCACUGGAUUGGAGGGUCCUCCAUAGCCUUCCAGUCGCAACGAAAGCGUUAAGUGCUCCGCCUGGGGAGUAUGGUCGCAAGGCUG